rnacentral:misc_RNA from 1 species
UAAAAUAAUAAUAAAAAGAGGAAGUUAAAUUUUAAUAUCAUUAGUAUUAAUAAACAUACUUAAUAAACGAUAGACUGAAGGAUUAUUUGAAGAUAAAAGGAUCUGGAUAGAAGUAGGAAAAGGAAUGUGUAAAUGUGUAAGUCCCUGAAAAAGUUGAGCAUUAUCAUAUUUAGGACAAUUCAGGAAGAUGUGAUCCACAUCCUCCACCUCACCACACUCACAUAAAGCACUGUCCACUAUAUGAAAUUUAGCUAGAUGAGCAGACGUACAAACGUGACCUAAUCUCAUACGAGUCAGGAUGCACGAUGCCGUCUUGCCCAACAGCAACCGCGAGAACCAGGGUUUUGCAGGAAUUUCACGUUGGAUAGAUGCGAAAUAUUUUCCUUUUGUUUGAGAACUGACAGACCACACUUCCCUCCACGAAUCACGUAGAUACACUCUGGGUAGAGCAAGAAGGUCAUGAGGGUAGAUUUUAUAGUAAGCCAUAUCUCCACAAUCAAUGGCGUCAUUAGCAAGCCUAUCAGCCUGUUCGUUUCCACGGAUACCCCUAUGUCCCGGAAUCCAGGCAAAAAUAAUCGAAAAUCCCUUUGCAGCACACUGAACAAUCAUGUUUCUGGUUUCUAUUAUCAAUGGACUAAUAAGUUUUGUUUUAAAUAAAAAUUUAGAUAGAGAUUGUAGAGCGCUCAUUGAGUCUGAAAAGAUUAUAGUUUUCCUAAGUUUUGCUAAAAGUACAUACUCAACCGCUUUAUACAGACCAAAAACUUCACCAGUAAAAACAGAACUCUCAGGAGGUAAUUUAAUCUUUUGAACUAUAUCGUAUUGUGAGUGAUAUAUGCCAACACCUACUUUAUUAUCUGUGGAUCGUUUGGACGCAUCACUAAAAACAUGAUGCCAACUGUCAGUGCUAUUGUCAAAUUCCGUGUCUAGAACGAAAUUGAAAACAUUGGAUGCCUCAAAAGUUUGUUUAGUUAUACCCAAGUUUAAACGAACAUCAGGUUUAUAAACAAGGGCUUCAUAGUUUGAGGUGUAAAGAGGGAAACAUAUUGAGUUAUGAAUUGGCGUAUCAAUUGACAGUAAUUUUUGAUAACUAUUAAUUAAACAAGGAGUGCAUUUAUGAGUCCAGUAACUUGAGGAGUUGACUUCUUCAGAGAGGAUUUUUAGCUUGGUUAAAAGUGGGUGGUCACCUAGUUGUAAACAACGGUAUAAAUAACUAUCUGAAAGAAACUGCCGCCUCAGUUGUAAAGGGGGUUCAACACACUCGACUUGCAUUGCAUUAAUAGGGCUAGUCUUCAUUGCGCCCAGAACAAUCCUUAAAGCUACCGAUUGUAUUUUAUCUAGUUUAUUUAAAGCAGCAGCACUACAUGGUUCCAGCAAAAAAGAUCCAUAAUCAAUCACACUCCUGAUUAGUGCAUUAUAAAUGAUUCUCAGAGAAGUAGGAUGAGCGCCCCACCAUACACCUCUGAGGCAUUUAAUAAUAUUAAGAUUCCGUUCACAUUUAGCCUCAAUAUAAUUGCAAUGUGGGAUACCAGGGGAGAUCUCAUACGAGAAAAAAGCACUACAUUGCUUUUGGAAACGGAUAAUUCUAAGCCAUUAUCAUUCAGCCAACCCUUCAAUAUACCAAGAGAUGUUACAUGGAAAAAGGUGAAUUUAAUCCUGAUAAAUUAUUAGAAAUUGAAGUUGGCAAGCACUGAAUUUGUAACUCAGGAACUGAAGAAGGAGCUAGAUUAUCUAGGAAUUGUUCAGCUAGCUCUGAAGAUAGAGAGCCUCUAGAUGAUGGAUUAACACCCAUCCUGAAUCUCCUAACGCUUUGCCAAACAACAGAAACAUUAACAUCUGGACAAAUAUUAUUACAGAAUCUUCUCCAUCCCUCAAACUUCUUCUUUUUCAAAAAUUUACGAGUGUCCCGUGCCACUUGACAGUAAAGCUCAUAGUUCACAGAUGUCAUUAAACAGGAAUAAACCCUUUCUGCUUCCCUCCUUCUUUUUAUAGCCUCUGUGCACUCGUUGUCCCACCAAGGUGGACAGGGGAUUUUUCUGGAGCCGCCCACUUUAAUUGGGAAUAAAGCAUCUGCAACCUCAAUCAUGACUUUGACAAGAGCCUCAGAGCAAGCCAUCUCAUUACCCAUACAGACAGAAGGGAGGUUUGAAACUUUACUGUCAACUUGCUGACUAAAUGCAGACCAAUCACUAGGUUUUUUAUCAGCAGCACUUCUACAAUUCCACUGUAGGAGUACCUGAUCCAUUAUUGGGAUUGAUAGACACAGUGUUUUCAAUUAGUUGGGCAACGUGGGACGGUAUAGAAUUGGUGGGAAUUAAACUGGAUUUAAACAAAAGCUCAAUAAGAGACAAAAUUAAUUUCGCUAUGGGUUGGUUUGAUUUAUCAUUUUCUGAGUUAUCAUUUUUCAGAGCAGAACCAUUUGGUGAAGAUAGAGGUAUAUCAUAAUCUUUUAUUAGAGAUGCAUGUGCAGCCCGGUCAUACCCAGCCGAAGGCGUAGGAGGAGCACGAGGCUUAAGGAAAACUGUUUUUUUAUAUGAGCUGGAAGAUGGGGACAAUCGAGCUGCUGGGUUAGCAGCCUCAUCUUGAGAUUGUUUAUGUUGCGAAGUUCUAAGAACGUCAGCAAAAGAUUUGGAGACAACGGGGUGUAAUUUGGAAGCCUCUAAAUAUGAGAUGCAGUUUUGAGCCAUUGACACUUUGAUAUUUUUUUGUCGGGAAAAUUCAGGACAAGCCUUACUAGUGGCAAAAUGAUAACCAGAACAAAGACAGCAUGAUCCAUCCUCUUGUUCUACUGAACAAGAUUCGGCAGUGUGACCUUGCCCACAUUUAUAACAGCGAGGCUUGGAGCGGCAUUGAGCCUUUGUAUGACCAAAACGGCAGCAGCUGUAACAUUGAAUGGUUGGAUAAAUGUACAAGUCGACAGUCAAUGGAGUAUAGCACAUAAACACACGUUUUGGUAGUACUUGUCCAUCGAAAGUUAAAACAACUGUUUCAGUGUUAGUAAAUUCUGGAGACCCAUUUAUAAUUUUUUUACUUUUAAUUCUCCUAGCUUUAAGAACUUUCCCACAUCCAAUGGGGACACUCACAUUAUCCAAAAUCUCAUCCUCAGGCCAGUCAGCAGGGACACCCCUGACAACACCCAUCCGUGUGAUAAUAAAGGUUGGAAUGAAAGCUCUCAAACUAUGGCUGGCAAGGCAAGGAUUUUCAAUAAAAGCGUUAGCAUCAGAAUAUGUGGAAAAGGCCAUGGAUAGUCUAUUUCUGCCGAUCCGUUUCAAGCUACCGUUCACUAUGUUUUUAAUCAUAUUUUUCUUUAGAACGCUGCCAAACUGAAUGGGAUGCAGUGAAACAGGAUCGUCAGGAGUAGACUGCUCCUUUUGAAUGUGCACCACAUAGGGUGCUAGGUCGGAAGAAACAUAUUUCCUACCAACUUGCUGUUGCUGCUGGGUUUGCUGAUUAGUUACUGUG